UCCGGGUAGGUGAACCUGCGGAGGGAUCAUUACCGAGUUUACAACUCCCAAACCCCUGUGAACAUACCACUUGUUGCCUCGGCGGAUCAGCCCGCUCCCGGUAAAACGGGACGGCCCGCCAGAGGACCCCUAAACUCUGUUUCUAUAUGUAACUUCUGAGUAAAACCAUAAAUAAAUCAAAACUUUCAACAACGGAUCUCUUGGUUCUGGCAUCGAUGAAGAACGCAGCAAAAUGCGAUAAGUAAUGUGAAUUGCAGAAUUCAGUGAAUCAUCGAAUCUUUGAACGCACAUUGCGCCCGCCAGUAUUCUGGCGGGCAUGCCUGUUCGAGCGUCAUUUCAACCCUCAAGCACAGCUUGGUGUUGGGACUCGCGUUAAUUCGCGUUCCCCAAAUUGAUUGGCGGUCACGUCGAGCUUCCAUAGCGUAGUAGUAAAACCCUCGUUACUGGUAAUCGUGCGCGGCCACGCCGUUAAAGCC
rnacentral:rRNA from 1 species